UCUGGCGGCGAUAUCGGAGAGGUUACACCUGUUCCCAUCCUACCCAUCCGGGCACAAGCGAACACAGCAGUUAAACUUUCCAGGGCCGAUGGUUCUCGGGGCUCGCGCCUCUGGGG
rnacentral:rRNA from 1 species